rnacentral:rRNA from 1 species
GGUUGCGAUCAUACCAGCACUAAUGCACCGGAUCCCAUCAGAACUCCGCAGUUAAGCGUGCUUGGGCGAGAGUAGUACUAGGAUGGGUGACCCUCUGAGAAAGUCCUCGUGUUGCAACCC